UAUGGCCAUAUCCAUUCACAUGCUCUCCUCACACCUCCUGACAGGUUGGGUAGGAGGAUGUGUCUGGUAUCUCAGAAGAAGAGCCAUGCAGGAAUCCCCUCACAAGUUCAUGCAUCUUUUUAGGAAUGCCAAUAAGAAGUGGAUUACAUUUCAGCACUUUAGCUUCCUCAAAUGCAGAUAUGUCACACAGCUGAACAGAAGCUUCAACCAGCAAGUAGAACCAAGGCCAGAACCAGUGGCAUCUCCUUGCCUUGCAAAAACGUCUUAGGGUCAAGCAAAACCAGAAAUACAUUAGAUAAGACCUCUUCCAGCUCCUAGCCUAUCUUCAUCCAGAAAGCCAAAUGAAAAGGAAUUGACACAACUAGAGUGGGCCUCAGUAAUUAUAGUUUCUUUUUCUUUUUUUUGAGACAGAGUUUUGCUCUGUCACCUAGGCUGGAGUGCAGUGGCACGAUCUCAGUUCACUGCACCUCCGUCUCCUGAGUUCAAGCGAUUCACCUGCCUCAGCCUCCCGAAUAGCUGGGAUUACAGGCGUGCACCACCACGCUCAGCUAAUUUUUGUAUUUUUAGUAGAGACGGGGAUUUCACCAUAUUGGCUGGGCUGGUCUUGAACCCCUGACCUCAGGUGAUCCACCCACCUCGGCCUCCCAAAGUGCUGGGAUUACAGGUGUGAGCCACCGCACCUGGCCUAGUUUCAAUAGAUGUAGCAAAAGAGACAAAAAAGAAAAGCAAUGGAAAGAGAUGAAGGUGCAUGUGGAUGAUUUGCAAGGAAUUUUGACUUGACUACCCAAAAUCA
rnacentral:lncRNA from 10 species